UACGUAGGGGGCAAGCGUUGUCCGGAUUUAUUGGGCGUAAAGAGCGUGUAGGCGGCUUUACAGGUCCGUUGUGAAAACUCGAGGCUCAACCUCGAGACGCCGGUGGAAACCGUAAAGCUAGAGUCCGGAAGAGGGGAGUGGAAUUCCUGGUGUAGCGGUGAAAUGCGCAGAUAUCAGGAGGAACACCCGUGGCGAAAGCGGCUCUCUGGGACGGUACUGACGCUGAGACGCGAAAGCGUGGGGAGCAAACAGG
rnacentral:rRNA from 1 species